AAAACAUCCUGAACAGCCUUGUUCCCCUACUCAUACAACUGUCAAAUGAUCGGACAAAAGAGGUCUCCAGGAAGACCCUCGACUCCUGCGUGUCCUUUAUGAACUGGGGGGGCUUUCCCAGCAACUUGUUUGACUAUGAAAUGUACACCAGUCUCCAUAGCAUGUACUCCAACAUCUGCUACGUGGUUGCUGCUGCGCACAAUACAUGCAACCGGAUGUGGUGACUUCCCUACAGAUUGAAGAGGUUUUCAUUGGUCUCCGGGAUCUGCAAGGCGAUUGUGAAGCCUCGGUGACUCAGGCUGCAGCUGACUCAAUGGAAGAAAUCUUUCGGCAGUGUGGCCAUCGGAUCAAUCCGGAUCUUAUUAGUAGUCAACUCCUCUCCAAGGUCAUCAGGAGGAUCUCCGAGACCAAGCAAUAAUAGUUAAUAGCGUAAUAGUUUUCUUUAUUGUCAUGGCAUCUCAUAGAAUGAAAUUAAGUGCCAUCCUCACUGUACUGUAUAUUAUCCUUUUUAAAAACCCUAUGAAAAUAAAACAAAAACACACCUCCUUCACACUGUAUGCAAUUGAAUUGAAAACCCCUGAUAUUGCAUUAAUAUUGCACUCUACAUAGAAUUGUAUAGUUACUGCUCUGGAAUAGAAGCAGUUUUUCA